rnacentral:rRNA from 1 species
CGCUGGCGGCUGCUUAACACAUGCAAGUCGAACGAAGUCCUCGGACUUAGUGGCGCACGGGUGAGUAACAUGUGGGAAUUUACCUAAAGGUUCGGAAUAACUGCGGGAAACUGUAGCUAAUACCGGAUGUGUCUGCAAAGAGAAAGAUUUAUCGCCUUUAGAUGAGCCCGCACUGGAUUAGUUUGUUGGUGAGGUAAAAGCUCCACCAAGACUACGAUCUAUAGCUGAUUUGAGAGGAUGAUCAGCCACACUGGGACUGAGACACGGCCCAGACUCCUACGGGAGGCAGCAGUGGGGAAUAUUGGACAAUGGGGGAAACCCUGAUCCAGCAAUGCCGCGUGAGUGAAGAAGGCCCUCGGGUUGUAAAGCUCUUUCAUUAAUGAAGAUAAUGACAGUAAUUAAAGAAGAAGCCCCGGCUAACUCCGUGCCAGCAGCCGCGGUAAUACGGAGGGGGCUAGCGUUGUUCGGAAUCACUGGGCGUAAAGCGUAUGUAGGCGGAUCAAAAAGUUAGAUGUGAAAUCCCUGGGCUUAACCCAGGAACUGCAUUUAAAACUAGAGAUCUAGAAUUUGGUAGAGGUUAGUAGAAUUUCCAGUGUAGAGGUGAAAUUCGUAGAUAUUGGGAAAGAAUACCAGUGGCGAAGGCGACUAACUGGGCCAUUUUUGACGCUGAGAUACGAAAGCGUGGGUAGCAAACAGGAUUAGAUACCCUGGUAGUCCACGCAGUAAACGAUGAGUGCUAGUCGCUGGGUCAAUAGAUUCGGUGUCGAAGCUAACGCAUUAAGCACUCCGCCUGGGAAGUACGGUCGCAAGAUACUAAAUGGAUACG